AUUGAACGCUGGCGGAAUGCUUUACACAUGCAAGUCGAACGGUAGAGGGGGCAACCCCUCGAGAGUGGCGAACGGGUGAGUAAUAUAUCGGAACGUGCCCAGUCGUGGGGGAUAACGUAGCGAAAGUUACGCUAAUACCGCAUACGAUCUAAGGAUGAAAGCGGGGGAUCGCAAGACCUCGCGCGAUUGGAGCGGCCGAUAUCAGAUUAGGUAGUUGGUGGGGUAAAGGCUCACCAAGCCAACGAUCUGUAGCUGGUCUGAGAGGACGACCAGCCACACGGGAACUGAGACACGGUCCAGACUCCUACGGGAGGCAGCAGUGGGGAAUUUUAGACAAUGGACGCAAGUCUGAUCCAGCCAUUCCGCGUGCAGGAUGAAGGCCCUCGGGUUGUAAACUGCUUUUGUACGGAACGAAAAGGUCUCUCUUAAUACGGGGGACUCAUGACGGUACCGUAAGAAUAAGCACCGGCUAACUACGUGCCAGCCGCCGCAGUAAAAC
rnacentral:rRNA from 1 species